AUAAAUGCAACGAGAAAGAGUGUGCGCGGCAAACCGCCUUGCAGAGAGCCGGGGGCAGGUGAGAGCCCGGCAGGUAAGCGCCGCGCACUGUCGCUUUUGAGCAGGGGCGGUGAAGCCAGUAGCCGCCCUCGGAGCUGCCCCACGUUACCGGGGCAUCAAGGGGCACGGGCUGUGUUUGCAGCCGGUGCAAUUUGGGUGGUACCGCGGUAUGUAGUUUACAGCCGUCCCAUGG
rnacentral:ncRNA from 1 species